CCUACAGGUGGCAGCAGUGGGGAAUAUUGCACAAUGGGGGAAACCCUGAUGCAGCGACGCCGCGUGAGUGAAGAAGUAUUUCGGUACGUAAAGCUCUAUCAGCAGGGAAGAAAAUGACGGUACCUGACUAAGAAGCCCCGGCUAACUACGUGCCAGCAGCCGCGGUAAUACGUAGGGGGCAAGCGUUAUCCGGAUUUACUGGGUGUAAAGGGAGCGUAGACGGCAGCGCAAGUCUGGAGUGAGAUCCCAUGGCUUAACCAUGGAACUGCUUUGGAAACUGUGCAGCUAGAGUGCAGGAGAGGUAAGCGGAAGUCCUAGUGUAGCGGUGAAAUGCGUAGAUAUUAGGAGGAACACCAGUGGCGAAGGCGGCUUACUGGACUGUAACUGACGUUGAGGCUCGAAAGCGUGGGGAGCAAACAGGAUUAGAUACCCCAGUAGUC
rnacentral:rRNA from 1 species